GAUGGCCCUGGUGAUUUGCUACUGCAUUGUCUACUGCUUCAACCACGACGCCGUCAUCUACUGCUUGAACCACGAUGUCGGUUCUUCGUCGACCUCCACCACGCGCGCUGGCAUCCGUCCAUCUCCGGCCAUGGUGACCGCGGAUCUCCGACCAUGAUGGGGUAAGGAGUUGAAAGGCGCAGGUGGUCAGGCCUGCAAUGAGUGCGCCCUCCUGGUCUGCCGCCCUUGCUAUGAGUAUGAACAUGAGGAUGGCGUACAACAAGGAGUUGACGGCCUACUCAAGCGCCAAGGGAAGGCGGCAGGCUGGCAGCGCCACCAAGAGCCCAACACGAACCUCCAAUAUUGAGUCCUACCUGUAAUUCACGGAUAAGGUUGGUUGUGCCCCUCUGCUGGAGGAUCUCAGUCCAACUACUCUGGAUGCAUCUAUGACAUGGUGGACAAGGCAGUAGAAGCAUGUGACAUGGCAGCCAAGGGAGUUGUUUUGUGGGAUGAAGUGUUGGUAAAGACAACAAGCCCCAAGGAUCUGCAUAUGUGUUGCAAGUAACUCUGCCGCAACCGCGACCGGCUGUGCUUCUUCCUUGGCUACAAACCACCUAGGUGAAUGGAACUCCGUUGAGGACUUCUACCCAUGUUGAAGAGCAGCUAGCUUUUGUACUGGUAGAGCGGUCUAUUUGUAGAUCCCAUUAUUUAUGAUUGUGUGGAUCUGGGUGAAGUUUGAAGUUCCUGAGUAUGCAAGAUUCGAUGGUUAAACUGGUUGAUGUGAUGUGAAUGAUUGUAUGAAAACUGGUUGUUGUGAU